rnacentral:rRNA from 1 species
GCCAAAAAUCUAGCCCCUUCCCGCCCUAUGCACCCCUAACAGCAUGACAUUAAUUAAAACAUUUAUUAUAUUUUAGUAAAGGCGAUAGAAAAAUUAAUUGGAGCAAUAACAAUAGUACCGCAAGGAAAUGAUGAAAUAAAAAUGAAACAAAUAUUAAGCAAAGCAAAGCAGAGACCUGUCCUCGUACCUUUUGCAUCAUGAUUUAACUAGUCUAACCAAGCAAAAAGAACUUUAGUUUGAUACCCCGAAACUAGACGAGCUACUUCGAGGCAGCUUAAUGAGCGCACCCGUCUCUGUUGCAAAAGAGUGGGAUGACCCCCAAGUAGAGGUGACAGACCUAACGAGUUUAGUGAUAGCUGGUUACUUAAAAAAAGGAUUUUAGUCCAACCUCAAACAUACUAAAUUAAAUUAAAUAGAUAUCAUGUUUUAGCGUCAUUCAAACGAGGUACAGCCCGCUUGAAAUAAGGAUACAACCUACACUAAUGGGUAAACUUUAAAAUUUAUAAACAAGUAGGCUUAAAAGCAGCCACCUUUUAAAUAGCGUCAAAGCUUAUCUACUCUUCACCCUAAUCCCGCUACUCUAAUUAAACCCUUUAUCCCUAUUAAGUACAUCUAUAAACUUAUAGAAGCUAUUAUGUUAAAACUAGUAAUAAGAAGUGAGACCUUCUCUUUAAUGUAUAUGUGAAUCAGAAAGGACACCCCGCUGAUAAUUAUACGCCCAUGAGAAUAAAACAGCAACCCCCCAAGAAAACUCUGUUUUAUUUAACGUCAACCUGACACCAGAACAUUACAAGAAAGAUUUAAAGAAAAAGAAGGAACUCGGCAAACAUUAACCUCGCCUGUUUACCAAAAACAUCGCCUCUUGAAUUCACAUAAGAGGUCCAGCCUGCCCAGUGACCAAGUUUAACGGCCGCGGUAUCCUAACCGUGCGAAGGUAGCGUAAUCACUUGUUCUUUAAAUGAGGACUAGUAUGAAUGGCACCACGAGGGUUAUACUGUCUCCUUUUUCUAAUCAAUGAAACUGAUCCCCCCGUGAAGAAGCGGGGAUAAUAAUAUAAGACGAGAAGACCCUAUGGAGCUUUAAACCAUGUAACACUGGCCUAAAAUACCCCACGUUUCAUAACUACCACAAAUACCCCGGCCACUUUGAUUACUAGUUUUAGGUUGGGGUGACCACGGAGCAAAAAUUAACCUCCACGCUGAAUGGAGCCACUCCUGAGCCAAAAGCUACAACUUUAAGCACUAACAAAUUAACAAUAAUUGACCCAAUAUUUUGAUCAACGAACCAAGUUACCCUAGGGAUAACAGCGCAAUCCAUUUUAAGAGCCCCUAUCGACAAAUGGGUUUACGACCUCGAUGUUGGAUCAGGGUAUCCCAGUGGUGCAGCCGCUACUAAAGGUUCGUUUGUUCAACGAUUAAAACCCU